GCUAUACCGUUUCCGGAUUAUUCAAAUGCAAUUUAAGCCCGGGUAAGGUUCCUCGCGUAUCAUCGAAUUAAACCACAUGUUCCUCCGCUUGUGCGGGCCCCCGUCAAUUCCUUUGAGUUUCACCGUUGCCGGCGUACUCCCCAGGUGGAAUACUUAAUGCUUUCGCUUGGCCGCUUACUGUAUAUCGCAAACAGCGAGUAUUCAUCGUUUACUGUGUGGACUACCAGGGUAUCUAAUCCUGUUUGAUACCCACACUUUCGAGCAUCAGUGUCAGUUGCAGUCCAGUGAGCUGCCUUCGCAAUCGGAGUUCUUCGUGAUAUCUAAGCAUUUCACCGCUACACCACGAAUUCCGCCCGCCUCUACUGUACUCAAGACAGCCAGUAUCAACUGCAAUUUUACGGUUGAGCCGCAAACUUUCACAACUGACUUAACUGUCCACCUACGCUCCCUUUAAACCCAAUAAAUCCGGAUAACGCUCGGAUCCUCCGUAUUACCGCGGCUGCUGGCACGGAGUUAGCCGAUCCUUAUUCAUAUGGUACAUACAAAAUUCCACACGUGGAAAACUUUAUUCCCAUAUAAAAGAAGUUUACAACCCAUAGGGCAGUCAUCCUUCACGCUACUUGGCUGGUUCAGGCCCUCGCCCAUUGACCAAUAUUCCUCACUGCUGCCUCCCGUAGGAGUUUGGACCGUGUCUCAGUUCCAAUGUGGGGGACCUUCCUCUCAGAACCCCUAUCCAUCGAA
rnacentral:rRNA from 1 species